GAGUUUGAUCAUGGCUCAGAACGUACGCUGGCGGCACGCCUAACACAUGCAAGUCGAGCGGGGUAGCAAUACCUAGCGACAGACGGGUGCGUAACAUGUGGGAAUCUGCCUUUUGGUUCGGAACAACAUGGGGAAACCUGUGCUAAUACCGGAUAAGUCCUAACGGAGAAAGUUUUAAUGCCAAAAGAUGAGCCCGCAUUUGAUUAGCUUGUUGGUGAGGUAAAAGCUCACCAAGGCUAUAAUCAAUAGCUGAUUUGAGAGGAUGAUCAGCCACACUGGGACUGAGAUACGGCCCAGACUCCUACGGGAGGCAGCAGUGGGGAAUCUUGCACAAUGGGCGAAAGCCUGAUGCAGCGAUGCCGCGUGAGUGAAGAAGGCCUUUGGGUUGUAAAG
rnacentral:rRNA from 1 species